ensembl:lncRNA novel transcript
GGCAAAGAGAAGGGAGCAUGAAGCUGUCAUUUUGAACAUGCCUAGUCCCAGAGAUGCAUGCGGGGAGAACUCUAUGUGAAGGUGAAGGCAGAGAUGCUUCAUUAAGCCAAGGAAUGCCAAAGGUGGCCAGCAAACCACCAGAAACCAGGCAAGAUGCAUGGAACAGAUUCUGUCUCGUAGCUCUCAGAAGGAACCAACCCUGCCAUCGCACAUUGAUUUUGGACUUCUGGCUUCCAGAACUGUGUGGGUUUGUCAUCCAGCGAGGAGAUGAGGAGAAAGUGCUGGGCCACUCCACUGGAGAAAUUGGAGACCUUUCUUCUGGCUGUGUCUAGGGAGCCAAGAGAGUGAGAGAAAACUCUUUGAGGAAUUGGCUCAGACAGAGGAGGGAGACAAGGUACCACGUUAACAACAGGACUGAAAUUUCGCCCAGAGUACAGAGAGCUCAGCAGAUUCCUGGCAUUUCUGAAAAACAAUCCCUUGGGGUUGAAUCAAAUUAAAUGCUUUAGGAAAAAAAGUUAUGAUAUUCAAGAGAAAUAAUGUGGCUUAACAACUGAAGUUCCACUUCUGAUGGACCUGAGAAGCCUUGCAAAUGACGUUUGAUUUUCACACUCUUUGAAGAGACAACAGAUUUCAUUGUGCAGGGGAGAAGCUGCCCAAGUGGACUUCUGGAGUUCUGACUACUUUGGGAGAUCCAUUGACUGAAAUGGAAGAAAAUAAUUCUAAAAUUUGUAUGGAACCACAAAGACUGCUAAUAGCCAAAGCUAGUUUGAACAAGAAGAACAAAUCUGGAGGCCUCACACUUUCUGAUUUCAAAAUAUAUUACAAAGCUACAGUAGUAGCAUAAAAACAGAUGCAUAAACCAAUGGGUAGAAUAGACAGCCCAGAAAUAAGCCCACUUACAUGUGGUCAGCUAAGUUUUAACAAGGGUGCUAAGAAUACAUAAUAGGCAAAUGAUAGUCUCUUCAAUCAAGUAUGGAGAAAAUUGGAUAUCUACAUGCAAA